GAUGAACGCUGGCGGCGUGCCUAAUACAUGCAAGUCGAGCGAACAGAUGAGGAGCUUGCUCCUCUGGCGUUAGCGGCGGACGGGUGAGUAACACGUGGAUAACCUACCUAUAAGACUGGGAUAACUUCGGGAAACCGGAGCUAAUACCGGAUAAUAUAUUGAACCGCAUGGUUCAAUAGUGAAAGACGGUUUUGCUGUCACUUAUAGAUGGAUCCGCGCCGCAUUAGCUAGUUGGUAAGGUAACGGCUUACCAAGGCAACGAUGCGUAGCCGACCUGAGAGGGUGAUCGGCCACACUGGAACUGAGACACGGUCCAGACUCCUACGGGAGGCAGCAGUAGGGAAUCUUCCACAAUGGGCGAAAGCCUGACGGAGCAACGCCGCGUGAGUGAUGAAGGUCUUCGGAUCGUAAAACUCUGUUAUUAGGGAAGAACAAAUGUGUAAGUAACUAUGCACGUCUUGACGGUACCUAAUCAGAAAGCCACGGCUAACUACGUG
rnacentral:rRNA from 1 species